AUACGGAGGAUGCAAGCGUUAUCCGGAUUUAUUGGGUUUAAAGGGUGCGUAGGCGGUUUGCUAAGCGGGAGGUGAAAUGCCGGCGCUCAACGUCGGAAGUGCCUCCCGAACUGGUGGACUUGAAUGACUCUGCCGUGGGAGGAAUGUGUAGUGUAGCGGUGAAAUGCUUAGAGAUUACACAGAACACCGAUUGCGAAGGCAUCUCACGAAUGGGUGAUUGACGCUGAGGCACGAAAGCGUGGGGAUCAAACAGGAUUAGAUACCCUGGUAGUCCACGCAGUAAACGAUGAUGGCUAACCGCUGGGCGUAUCAGUUCAGUGGCCAAGCGAAAGCGAUGAGCCAUCCACCUGGGGAGUACGACCGCAAGGUUGAAACUCAAAGGAAUUGACGGGU
rnacentral:rRNA from 1 species